GGUGGGGGUAUUUGUUCAUAUUUUUCAGUUUCAUAAAUUAUUUUUGUAAAUAACUGGUCUGCACAUCCAUAUUGCGAUCAUUGUGUAUCAGUGUACUGUGCACUGAACAGCUACAGGUCUUAUACAUGGAAUAUUCAUUAUAUCAUGAUUUAGUGAUCCUUUACUCCGUGCAUAUGUUAUAUAAGCACAGGUUUGCUCCCCUCAGAGGGAAUUGGUUAGAGGACCAAUCAUUAAGCAUUUUAUUGAUGCAAGGGAAUUAUUUUAGGAGGCCUUGAUGUGAAAACAUUUGGGAUUGCCUGCUGUGCAUAAUCCUGAUUAAAAGUAAUAUUUCAUAUGAGAAUCUGUAGUUAGAUAACAGUGACCCCACCCCUUUGGGUGUUUAAUUAUAUCAAAUGGGAACAUGAGGCAUUACCCAGUUAAUCCUACUUUCAUAUCAUGGAUCCCAUACCCCCAUUCCAAUAAAGUAAUUAUGCGAGCAGUGUCACUGAGGAAUAUUGCUGCUUUGAAACGGUGAUUGCCUGUCCUGUUGUAUUCACGGUAAUGUAUACACGUGGGCUCCUGCAUAUUGUUAUUGUACUCUUUCGCUACCUGGCGCUGUUGCAUGUACAUCAUCUGAAUCACCGUGCCGCUGUUCCCCUGGCUCGAGAGGAAGACUGCUAAUCUUAGACCAUCUGGUCAAAGAAAGGCGAAAGGAACAGGCUAAUCUCUGCUGGUCCUGAAGGGGGAAGCACGCCUCCAAAGCCAUGCCCUUUGUUCCAAGCCCCUGAGUCAAGUAAACUUUUUCUUAAUUGUCAGCUUCUUGUCUUUUAUCAUUUUUCCUUUUUUUCCCUCGCCUCCUCCUGAAGUGUCAUGAGAGCCGGAAGGUGCACCCGCCAUGACUGUAGCAAACAACCGGGAAGAAUUACACGGCUGUGUGUGGAGACUGGGAGGUGGUGUUCCGUGGAAGAAACCUGCUGCAUCACUGCCUUCUGAUCUGCUUGGAGACAGCAGUCGAGAGCAAUACUCCCAGACCAAGCAGACUACGGUGACCUUCCACAAAGCCAUUAGAGAGAGGCAUUAGGGCGCCUGCCCACAGGAUGCACUUAGCAUAUUCCAGACCAAAGAGAAGGCCCCCCCGCACCCCCCUCCUCCAAGGACCCAUUUUAUAUAUCACUGACUGGAGAGGCCCAACUUGCCACAGGAACCACACAUUACCAGGCAUUGUCCACCACAUGGGCAUUAUGGACUGGAGAGAUUAAAUCCAUGUACCACUACUGGCUUUGACGUUCUGUGUGUGCAUCACUUCGAGACAACAAAUAAACACUGAAGCAGUUGCAGAUGAGUGUUGGAUGUAGUGGUGCAUGGGCGACGCACCCUCAUCGCCACAGCGUGCGUUCCCCACACUUUCCCAUCGCGCGAAGACGAGCGGGAGGAUGAAAAAAAAACGAACAAACGGGAAAUCACGCCGGCGGGGUUUCCAAUUAAGAGCGCACACC